rnacentral:tRNA from 1 species
AGUGGUGUACGCAAAUGGUUUAAGCGACUUGAUUUUCAACCAAGUGAUUGCGGGUUCAAAUCCCGUCACCACUC